AGGUUAACCGUAUAGGGGAGCCGUAGGGAAACCGAGUCUUAACUGGGCGAAUGAGUUGCAGGGUAUAGACCCGAAACCCGGUGAUCUAUCCAUGGGCAGGUUGAAGGUUGGGUAACACUAACUGGAGGACCGAACCGACUAAUGUUGAAAAAUUAGCGGAUGACUUGUGGAUGGGGGUGAAAGGCCAAUCAAACCGGGAGAUAGCUGGUUCUCCCCGAAAGCUAUUUAGGUAGCGCCUCGUGAACUCAUCUUCGGGGGUAGAGCACUGUUUCGACUAGGGGGUCAUCCCGACUUACCAACUCGAUGCAAACUGCGAAUACCGAAGAAUGUUAUCACGGGAGACACACGGCGGGUGCUAACGUCCGUCGUGAAGAGGGAAACAACCCAGACCGCCAGCUAAGGUCCCAAAGUCAUGGUUAAGUGGGAAACGAAGUGGGAAGGCUCAGACAGCCAGGAUGUUGGCUUAGAAGCAGCCAUCAUUUAAAGAAAGCGUAAUAGCUCACUGGUCGAGUCGGCCCGCGCGGAAGAUGUAACGGGGCUAAACCAUGCACCGAAGCUGCGGCAGCGACACAAAGUGUUGUUGGGUAGGGGAGCGUUCUGUAAGCCUGCGAAGGUGUACUGUGAGGUAUGCUGGAGGUAUCAGAAGUGCGAAUGCUGACAUAAGUAACGAUAAUGCGGGUGAAAAACCCGCACGCCGGAAGACCAAGGGUUCCUGUCCAACGUUAAUCGGGGCAGGGUGAGUCGACCCCUAAGGCGAGGCUGAAAAGCGUAGUCGAUGGGAAACGGGUUAAUAUUCCCGUACUGGUGGUAACUGCGAUGGGGGAACGGAGAAGGCUAGGUUGUCCGGGCGACGGUCGUCCCGGUUCAAGCAGGUAGGCAGAGUGAUUAGGCAAAUCCGGUCACUUAAUGCUGAGAUGUGAUGACGAACCACCAAGGUGGUGAAGCAAUUGAUGCCCCGCUUCCAGGAAAAGCCUCUAAGCUUCAGGUUACCAACAAUCGUACCCCAAACCGACACAGGUGGUCAGGUAGAGAAUACUCAGGCGCUUGAGAGAACUCGGGUGAAGGAACUAGGCAAAAUGGUGCCGUAACUUCGGGAGAAGGCACGCUGGCGGUAGGUAAAGUCCCUUGCGGACGGCGCCCAAGCCAGUCGAAGAUACCAGCUGGCUGCAACUGUUUAUUAAAAACACAGCACUGUGCAAACACGAAAGUGGACGUAUACGGUGUGACGCCUGCCCGGUGCUGGAAGGUUAAUUGAUGGGGUCAGCCGUAAGGCGAAGCUCCUGAUCGAAGCCCCAGUAAACGGCGGCCGUAACUAUAACGGUCCUAAGGUAGCGAAAUUCCUUGUCGGGUAAGUUCCGACCUGCACGAAUGGCGUAAUGAUGGCCAGGCUGUCUCCACCCGAGACUCAGUGAAAUUGAACUCGCUGUGAAGAUGCAGUGUACCCGCGGCAAGACGGAAAGACCCCGUGAACCUUUACUAUAGCUUGACACUGAACAUUGAGCCUUGAUGUGUAGGAUAGGUGGGAGGCUUUGAAGUGUGGACGCCAGUCUGCAUGGAGCCAACCUUGAAAUACCACCCUUUAACGUUUGAUGUUCUAACCUAGGCCCAUAAACUGGGUCGGGGACCGUGUCUGGUGGGUAGUUUGACUGGGGCGGUCUCCUCCUAAAGAGUAACGGAGGAGCACGAAGGUUGGCUAAGCAUGGUCGGACAUCAUGCGGUUAGUGCAAAGGCAUAAGCCAGCUUGACUGCGAGAGUGACGGCUCGAGCAGGUACGAAAGUAGGUCUUAGUGAUCCGGUGGUUCUGAAUGGAAGGGCCAUCGCUCAACGGAUAAAAGGUACUCCGGGGAUAACAGGCUGAUACCGCCCAAGAGUUCAUAUCGACGGCGGUGUUUGGCACCUCGAUGUCGGCUCAUCACAUCCUGGGGCUGAAGUAGGUCCCAAGGGUAUGGCUGUUCGCCAUUUAAAGUGGUACGCGAGCUGGGUUUAGAACGUCGUGAGACAGUUCGGUCCCUAUCUGCCGUGGGCGUUGGAAGAUUGAGAGGGGUUGCUCCUAGUACGAGAGGACCGGAGUGAACGCACCACUGGUGUUCGGGUUGUCAUGCCAAUGGCAUUGCCCGGUAGCUAAGUGCGGAAGAGAUAACCGCUGAAAGCAUCUAAGCGGGAAACUUGCCUCGAGAUGAGUCUUCCCUGUCACUUUAAGUGACCUAAAGGAACGUUUAAGACUAAGACGUUGAUAGGCUGGGUGUGUAAGCGUAGCGAUACGUUGAGCUAACCAGUACUAAUGAACCGUGAGGCUUAACCUG
rnacentral:rRNA from 1 species